rnacentral:rRNA from 1 species
AAAUUGAAGAGUUUGAUCAUGGCUCAGAUUGAACGCUGGCGGCAGGCCUAACACAUGCAAGUCGAACGGUAACAGGAAGCAGCUUACU